AACUUUCAACAACGGAUCUCUUGGCUCUCGCUUCGAUGAAGAACUCAGCGAAAUGUGAUUUGUAAUGUGAUUUGCAGAAUUGAGUGAAUCAUCGAAUUUUUGAACGCACCUUGCGCUCUCUGGUAUUCCGGAGAGCAUGCCUGUUUGAGUGUCAUGAACUCUUCAACCCACCGGUUCCUUGUUGAAUCGAGUUGGUGUUUGGAUUUUGAGCGUUUUGCAAUUUAACUAUUGCUCGUUCGUAAUACAUUAGCAUCUCAAUUUCGAAACUCGGAUUGACUCAGCGUAAUAGACUAUUCGUUGAGGACACCUUAGCAAUAGGGUGGCCGAAUUAGAUAAAAGUGGAAGCUUCCAAUCCCUCUAGUCAAAUUUUAGAUUAGACCUCAGAUCAGGCAGGAUUACCCGCUGAACUUAAGCAUAUCAAUAAGCGGAGGCU
rnacentral:misc_RNA from 1 species